rnacentral:rRNA from 1 species
GUAGGGAAUAUUGGGCAAUGGGGGAAACCCUGACCCAGCAACGCCGCGUGAGGGAAGAAGGCCUAACGGUUGUAAACCUCUGUCAUAUGGGAAGAAGGAAUGACAGUACCAUAUGAGGAAGCCCCGGCUAACUACGUGCCAGCAGCCGCGGUAAUACGUAGGGGGCAAGCGUUGUCCGGAAUGAUUGGGCGUAAAGGGCGCGUAGGCGGCCUGGUAAGUCUGGAGUGAAAGUCCUGCUUUUAAGGUGGGAAUUGCUUUGGAUACUGUCGGGCUUGAGUGCAGGAGAGGUAAGUGGAAUUCCCGGUGUAGCGGUGAAAUGCGUAGAGAUCGGGAGGAACACCAGUGGCGAAGGCGACACCCUGGACCGAUACUGACACUGAGGUGCGAAAGCGUGGGUAGCGAACAGGAUUAGAAACCCCGGUAGUCC